rnacentral:rRNA from 1 species
GACGAACCUUGCUAACGUUAUUCGGAAUUACUGGGCUUAAAGGGUGCGUAGGCGGUGCAGCAAGUCGGGUGUGAAAUCCUCCAGCUCAACUGGAGAAUUGCGCCCGAAAACUGCUGUGCUUGAGAAAGAUAGAGGUACGGCGGAACUUAGGGUGGAGCGGUGAAAUGCGUUGAUAUCCUAAGGAACACCGGUGGCGAAAGCGGCGUGACUGGGUCUUUUCUGACGCUGAGGCACGAAAGCCAGGGUAGCGAACGGGG